UUAACCGGCUGGACCUGUGGCCUCCCUCCUGUCGUCUCAUCUGCCUGUUUAUCUUACUUGUUCAUUUCUCUCUGCCAGUGAGAAUAGGAACAGGUCAAGCUGUGUGUGCAGUGUAUGCAAAAUGAUGUUGCUGUUUUUGUCCAAGGAGGAGUCCUGUACCUUCUGGCUUCUUGAAUGAGAAGAAAAGGCCUAUUAAGAAGAUCAUCCUUUUCGACAGAGGAAUAAUAUGAUGAAGGUGUGUGCCUGUGUCCUGCCACUUCAGUCGUGUCCUACUCUUUUCAGCUCCACGGACGGUAGCCCGCCAGGCUCCUCUGUCCAUGGGAUUUCCCGGGGAAGAAUACUGGCGCGGGUUGCUGUUUCCUCCUCCAGGGGAUCUGCCCAACCCAGGGAUCGAAACUGCAUGUCUUGCAUCUCCUGCAUUGGCAGGUGGAUUCUUGACUACCAUGCCACCUGGGAAGCCCUAAUAAAAUGACUGGUAAAAUAAGCAAAAGUGAUGCCAGGGCUGGGAGAUGAGUGGGCCGUUUACUUACGGGAGGGACCAUGGUGGAAAGUCAACUGGAAGCUGGCAAUGCUGGUUACAGAAAAGACGACUUGGAAAAGGAGUGAAAAUGAACAGAGCUGCUGACUUUGAAACCUGUUACCCUCUCUCUGAGGUUCGCUUAUGCUCAGAGGAGUUGCUG